CGAGCGAGAGUCUUCGGACUCGAGCGGCGAACGGGUGAGUAACACGUAGGAAAUCUGCCGUAAAGACUGGGAUACCAGACCGAAAGGUUUGCUAAUACCGGAUAUGAAUUCGAGAGGCAUCUCUUGAAUUUGAAAGCUGCGUUUGCAGCACUAUACGACGAUCCUGCGGCGCAUUAGUUAGUUGGUGAGAUAACAGCCCACCAAGACGAGGAUGCGUAGCCGACCUGAGAGGGUGAUCGGCCACAAUGGAACUGAGACACGGUCCAUACUCCUACGGGAGGCAGCAGUAAGGAGUUUUCGGCAAUGGGGGAAACCCUGACCGAGCAAUACCGCGUGAGUGAUGAAGGUCUUCGGAUCGUAAAACUCUGUUGUAAGGGAAGAAUGAUAAGAAUAGGAAAUGAUUUUUAUUUGACCGUACCUUACGAGGAAGCCACGGCUAACUACGUGCCAGCAGCCGCGGUAAUACGUAGGUGGCAAGCGUUAUCCGGAAUUAUUGGGCGUAAAGAGUGAGCAGGCGGCCGUUUAAGUCUGAAGUCAAAUGCAGUAGCUCAACUACUGUUCGCUUUGGAAACUGGAUGGCUAGANUUCGGGAGAGGUAAAUGGAACUUCAUGUGUAGCGGUGAAAUGCGUAGAUAUAUGAAAGAA
rnacentral:rRNA from 1 species